UUGGAGUGGACGCACGUACAGAAGCGAAUGAGGGAGCUGCUGUCACAAAGCCCUGUUAUUGUGAGAACAGACCAAGAGAAGCUCCUGGCUCAGCUUGAAGAGGAGCUGGAGCAGAUCAGAGAGCUAGUCCAAGUGCAGCAACAGCUCCUAGAGGACAACGUAGUUCCUCCUCUUCCUGAUGUUCUGAUUGGCUCUUAUUAUCUAGAGGAGUGGGAGCAGCUUCAGGACAUGUGGGUGGAGCUUAACCAUCAGAGGCGUAGCUUCCAGCAAGAGAGGCAGGCUUUCACCGAUGCUGCAAUCCGACUGGGCCGUGAGAGGUGUGAGUUUGAGCAGCAGAAGGCCUCUCUCCUGAAGCAACAGUUCCUCUGUGAAUCUCCAGUAAGAAAGACCUCCCAUUCCAUCAAGGCAGUGGGAACACCAGACAAUGACGUACACACAGGCAAACAAGAUCCUGACGAGUGGUCAGAGGUUGUGCCCAGGUCAGGUCAGAAUAUGGUUAUGACCCCCAACACCCCCGAGCUCUACUCUGCCCUCCAGCUGCCAUACCACUGCAGGGAAACAGAUAGUUCUCAGUCUGAGAGGAUGCAGAAUGAAGUAGGGAGAGGUGUUUUCAGCCCUACUAAAACAAACAUGGAUGACUGACCCUUUUAGUCCCGACUGUGAAACGUGCGUAAAAGGGCAGAAAUGUACUCGUUGUUUAAUGAUAUUUAAUGCUUUUUG
ensembl:lncRNA